GUCGUCUAAACGGCCCUACUGAAAGGUGACCUCGAAUCAUCUUUCGUAGCAGUCCGUGUCAACCUGGAUGAGUGACAAGCAAGAUGGUGUCCAAUAAGUGGAUAAUUAUAUGGAUUGCACUCUUUAAUCUACUUAUAGACAAAGCUUUCGGAGGCAUCUACUAUGAAGGACUGACUGGUACCAAUCUUUCCUGCUACACGUGUAAGGAAAGUUACAAAAUCACGCCAUACGACCCAACAGCCCACACCUGCCAGUCAAACCUUCCCAAAGUAGACAUCAUCUCCUGCGGCAUGAAAGAUAAAUACUGCAAGGUUGAGAGGGUCGAGCUUCAUGGCGUGAAGAUCAGCAUUGAAAGAAGCUGUACGGACACAUGUUACUAUGGAUGUAAGUUCCAAGGAUACGGAUUGACCUAUCUGAAAUGUACGUCGUGCUGUAGAGGACAUGCGUGCAACACAGACAGCCACGGAGUGAUUAUCACGCCAAGUUUAUUUCUUUAUGUGAUGAUGAUUUUAAUUGCUACAUUUAUAAUCCGAGGAUGAACGAUAAGUCCGUAUCAUUUGAAUCGUGCCUAAACUUGUUUAUGAAUGACAACAGAGUGUGAGUACACAGAAGGACAUACUAGUUCUGGUGAUUUGUUUUCUCUCUUAAUACAGCCCGGCUGCAAAUUUAGGGCAAUGGCGUUAAAAGUUAGAACUGGGACAAUCACGAACCCAAGGGUUUUGUAAUUUUGACGCGAGUUGUUUACUACGUUGAACACUAAAGAUCUGAUUUCACUGCAGUGGUUUGCCGUGGCGUCAAAGUUUUUCCGCUUUCACGAGCUUUGUGGUCAGUUUCAUUCCGCUUUCGCGGCUGUAUGUACUUGCAAGCAAUAGUAUAGUUAUGCACUCUUUACCAGUGUCUCAGAUAAGAAGGAUUGGGUUAAUGUUGUCAAGUGUUGAGUAACGAAAAAUACUCGAUGCUGAGGGAAACCACAGUUCCACACACUGCCUUCUAUUGGUGAUUCAUAGUAAAACAUGGUCGAUCAAUUAUAUAUAUAUACAUAACCAGUGGAUAUCAUAAAAGGUUCAUGAAACCGAGUUUAACAAUAUGCCUAUUGGCAAU